rnacentral:lncRNA from 1 species
GAAAAUUAAACACACCUCUGGACAGAACAGCUAGUAGGAUUUUAAAUUCUCAGGUUAAUCAGGAAAAGAGAAAUCAUCAAAAUGUGCACAGAAAUUGAAAGAGCACCUUACCUUUCUCUACAUUGUCUGAUUGAGUCUCAUUUUGCUGCUGUUUCUGCUGGUUUCUAAAUUUUUCGAGAAUGGCUUGCCUGAGCUUUCUGCUUUCCUCUUUGACCCUAUCAAGAUCCUCCUCUUGUUCGGCAAGUUUUAGUGCAAUCCUCUCUUCAAAAUCAUCCUGUGCAUCUUCAUCUC